CUUAAUGCGCCGCUAGAAUGAUCAUGUGACUCUUGCAAUGGGUAGCUAAGUAAAGAUGCCCGGUCGUAUUCGCCAACAAAGCAAGGAGUGUGUGGACAACCGACAGACCUAGUUCGUUUCGUUUUUUCCUUAUAAGAGGUGAGCCAUUAACAUAAUACACAGAAACGACGCUAAUAUUAAAAGAUUUAUGAGAGCUAGGAACUCUAAGACUAUGUUCGGGAAACACGUCAUCUCAAGAUAUAUUCCAGUUACCUGUGCUGAGUUUCUUUUAUGUAGUUUAUUUUGCCUAAGACUAUAGGCAGUAAGUAGUCAUACACUUGGACGUCAUAUGUUUUUUAUUCCUAGAAGUUUUGUCAGUUUUGUAAUUUCGACAUAACUUGAGCAGACCUUAAUGUGUUUGUUAAAUGCUAUGCUCUUCGUGCCAUAAUAUAUCAGCGCUGCGCAAAUAUAAAAUAGAAAUGGGGCAGACGAAAAUCUUUAAGGUUACAUCAGACCUGUGAUAUGAACAGCCAUGUUGUAUAAUUUUCUCAUUUGUCUCAUGAAAUGGCUGCCAUGUGUUCAGCAGGCUCUUAAAAACAACAUAUUUCCAUUGUUGGAACUAUUUGUCUUUUUGCUAAAUUUUUGAAAAUAACAAUGUUGCUAAUUUAAAAAAAAAUUCAAAAUAUUUCUAUUGAUCAAACCUGCUACAUUUGGAGGAAGGAAUAAGAAGCAACCUUUAAUAACCAUCAGUUACUUUUAAAUCCUUCUUUAUUAUAUUGUUUGUGUUGUAUGUUGUAUAUAUUAUAUUUCCUGUACUGCAGUUAAAGUAAAUUUAUGUUUUCUGUAAGGUGGGCUAAGGAUUAUUACCCAUGCAUCUUCUAACCUUCUAUCCUGGUCAGGAUCACGUGGAGAAAGAUUAUUCAUUUAUUUUUAUUAAUUUUAAAUAAUUGACUAUAAAUCAAUUUGUUUGUGGAAUAUCUUAGUAUUUUGUGACAUUACACACUGACUUUAAAUUUAUGUUAUUACACUGUCUACAUUCUAACUGGUGUAUUAUCUAAAUGAAAAUAUAUUGUGUUCCUGAAGUAAAAAUGCUUUACAUUU